rnacentral:rRNA from 1 species
AGGGUGCGAGCGUUGUCCGGAAUUACUGGGCGUAAAGAGCUCGUAGGUGGUUUGUCGCGUCGUCUGUGAAAUUCCGGGGCUUAACUCCGGGCGUGCAGGCGAUACGGGCAUAACUUGAGUACUGUAGGGGAGACUGGAAUUCCUGGUGUAGCGGUGAAAUGCGCAGAUAUCAGGAGGAACACCGGUGGCGAAGGCGGGUCUCUGGGCAGUAACUGACGUUGAGGCUCGAAAGCGUGGGGAGCAA